GACGAACGCUGGCGGCGUGCUUAACACAUGCAAGUCGAGCGGUAAGGCCCUUUCGGGGGUACACGAGCGGCGAACGGGUGAGUAACACGUGGGUGACCUGCCUUUAGCUCUGGGAUAAGCCUGGGAAACUGGGUCUAAUACCGGAUAUGACUCCGCGGUGCAUGCUGUGGGGUGGAAAGCCUUGUGCGGCUGGAGAUGGGCCCGCGGCCUAUCAGCUUGGUUGGUGGGGUGAUGGCCUACCAAGGCGACGACGGUAGCCGCCUGAGAGGCGACCGGCCACACUGGGACUGAGACACGGCCCAGACUCC
rnacentral:rRNA from 1 species